UUGACUAUUUCAGAGGCUUCGUGUAAACGAAAUCAUGGAUGUUUGUCCUUCUGUCACUGGCUUAUUUCCCUUUGCAUAAUGUCUUUCAGGUCCAUCGCUACUGCCGCAAAUGCAGGAGGAGAGAAAUAUGAACUUUUGCAGUAUGAUGAAUGCUAUACCGGGACCAAGUACACCAUGGAUAUCUAGUGGUGGAGGGACCUAUCCAACUAUGGACAGGGAGAUGCUGUGUCAGGAGAACUUACAUGAGGAAACAUUCCAGCAAAAUCAAAAUCAAAGCAAAACUUUGACCUCAAGGGGAUUUAAAGGAUGUAAAAACAUGAAGUGAAAAGUGAAAGACCAGGUAGGAUGGUCUGUGUUGAAGACCUGCCUGUUGAGCUGCCUGUAUGAUUUUCAUCAAGCAACCCUCAUCUUUCUGGAUCCCAGUUUAAAUAUGCUUAAAAUGGUGAAGCUGAGCUGAUCUCCAAAUUCCCUUCUGGUCCGAAAACUCCAAUGUUACAACCAUGGAACCAUUCACCAUCCCAGCCCGUUUUUCCUUGAUCCUGAACACAGCUAACCAUGCCAGAGCCCUGUUCUAAUUCAAUUGCAUACUUUUGCACCCGCUGAA